UACAGAGGUCCCAAGCGUUGUUCGGAUUCACUGGGCGUAAAGGGUGCGUAGGUGGCCAGGUAAGUUUGGUGUGAAAGCUCGGAGCUUAACUCCGAAAAGUCAUUGAAUACUAUCUGGCUGGAGGGUCGGAGGGGAGACUGGAAUUCUCGGUGUAGCAGUGAAAUGCGUAGAUAUCGAGAGGAACACCAGUGGCGAAGGCGAGUCUCUGGACGACUCCUGACACUGAGGCACGAAAAGCUAGGGGGAGCAAACAGG
rnacentral:rRNA from 1 species